ensembl:lncRNA
GUGGAAGGUUGAUGUUGUACUGUACUCCUGGAGGAGAGGUGGAAGGUUGAUGUUGUCCUGGAGGACAGGUGGAAGGUUAAUGUUGUACUGGAGGAGAGGAGGAAGGUUGAUGUUGUACUGUACUCCUGAAGGAGAGGUGGAAAUUUGAUGUUGUACUGUACUCCUGGGGGAGAGGUGGAAUGUUGAUGUUGUCCUGGAGGAGAGGUGGAAGGUUGAUGUUGUACUGUACUCCUGAAGGAGAGGUGGAAGGUUGAUGUUCUCCUGGAGGAGAGGUGGAAGGUUGAUGUAGUACUGUACUCCUGGAGGAGUGGUGGAAGGUUGAUGUUGUCCUGGAGGAAAGGUGGAAG